AUAUACACAUCCUAAGCAGAUAAAGGUGAUUGGACAUAGCAAGAAACCAAUAGUCCUCCCAGGAAGUGUAUAAUGUGGCUUUGCAGACAGUGAGAACCCUUAAUGGUCUUUCUUCCACAAGUGGUUUUACUCUGCUGCUCGGGAAACUUUAUCCUGCUUCUCCUCUUCCCUCCCCUCUCCACCUUAAAGGGGAAAAAAAAAAAAAAAAUCAGUUAAGGGAGAAAGCCUGCCAGACUGCAAUAAACUGAACAGACUAAGGCAACCACUGAAGAAGCACCCAUCAAAUCAGAGCCAGGCAAAUAAUGGGGGAGGGGGGUCCAUAAAUAUUGUCUUUGGGGGGAAAAAAACUUCAUGAAAUGCCUUUCAUCUAAUCCUAACCAAUGGUGGGAGAAGAGAGAGAGAGUGUCAGCAAAACAGCAGAAGGCUUCCCGAAAAAGUUACUUGUACUUGCAUGGAAGCCAGGACAAGCCACAACAGACCAAUGAAAGGGGAUUACUGGGGUAGGAAAGACAAACGCUAUUUUUUUUUUUUUUUAAACUGAGCCUGGUCCCAAUAUCCCUUACAAGGACUUUAUUUGAUUAUCUGCUUUAGUGUGUUUGUUUAUUACUAAUCACUUUGCUUUAAUAUGAUGAACAGGCCCUAACAAAAGCAAAUGUCAUGUAGAAAAAGCAAUCUGUAUUUAUAUACCAUGUUUCACUGUUUUUCAUUUCCUUGUUUUCAAUUAUUCAGAACAUUCACAUAACAGGAUCUUCGUUUCAAAGCUUUUAUGCCCUUUGGCUGCUUAUUCCUCACUCAAAUUCAGAAACAUAACUGGGCUGUGGUUUAUCAUGGGCAAUAGAUCAGGCUGGCAAGGAUCAAGUUCUCUGAGUAUAUACUUUUGAAAAAUUUGAAUGCUUGUUGGCCGGUUGCCAGUAUAUGUAAUUAUGUGCUUUCCAGUGCUUCCAGGCAUACUAUUUUGGUUCCACUAUAGCAGGAGUGUCAAACUCAUUUCCUGCCCUGGGCCAGAUCCAGACCAUGGGACUCCUUGCAGGACAGGUCCCUGCAAGGGCAUAGGGUAGCUCUGGCACCAGUGGUGGCAUCUUCAGUGCCCACCCAGUACAUGCAGUGGCAGCAGCAGAGCUCCAGCUCUGGUGCAGGUAGCAGCCAUGCCCACUGGGGCCCAAGGACCUGCAGCAGGCCACUACCAAGUGCCCUCCCCACACCCCCAACUUCUGGUGGUCCAUCAGUAGCCCAGUGGACUUAACACUUCAGCUCUGUGGGCCAGAUACAGAUACAGCCAUAUGCACCUCUGCUCUAUAGGAACUUCUACUCCCUCCCUCCCAAUGACAUCACAAAGUUAAAACACUCACCUACAGUGUCCAGGUAAAGCAGAGCAAUGCAGAGCGCUUCAGGUCUUUUGAAACCACAAGCUUAAGCUUAAGAUUUUAGGGCAUCAGCCAUAAUAUCCCAAACAGUCAGAAAUAACCCAUUUUACUGAGAGAUGACUGAAAUCCUACAAGCCUUAAAACAGCUUUUUCUGAACUCGGGUGAUGUAUCUCAUCAAUUCAGAUAACACCAGUCAAUCUGAGACAAAAAAGAAAACAAAUCAUUUGCCCCAAUUCACCCACUGAAUAAGUCUGAAAUUCCAAACACACUGCAAACUACAGCUUCAUAAAGUCUGUGGACUUCCUAGAGCAAAAACAUCAUAAGACACCUACUGAAAGUGUCAAGACAAAACUAGAAGAAACUAUUCAUUCCAUGAACUCAAAACCAGCAUUAUUAUUUUUAAUAUUUUUGUGUUAUAAGUCAAAUAAUUCACAUAGUCCUAUGCAACACCCACAACAUAGAUACAGAUGAAGGGCCAGCUCCAUCUGCUAUGAAAGUUAAUAGAGAAGUCCCCACAGAUUUAAUGGGAGUUGUAUCAAACUUUACCAUGGAAGGUACAUCAACAAAACGUAUCUGUAAUUUUCCAGAAACAAAUAUACUUUUGCAUUAUAUUUCCUAGCUUAUUUUCAGCCCAGGAUGAUCUAAUGUGUGUAAAAUUUAAGGAAACUGAUUUGCAAAUGUAUGUAUUAUCCAAUUAGGGAAAAGCAGUUUUUUUUUUAUCAUAAGCUUUUUGUAGCCUCAGAUUACUAGAAGUCAGAAAAAUACACAGUACAUGAUAUUCUAUUACAGUUUUAACGCUAUUGAGAACACUGCACAACAAAGCACUGCAUCAACCAGUUUAGACUUUGAUCCCUCUGGACCUUUACUAGACCUUGGCUAGCAGAAAUUGUAAAGCCUGACUGAAGAUUAACAGAAAAUGCAGCAAAUUCAGUCUUAAUUUCAUUCAUUUGGCCUUUUCUCUCCAUGGAUUGGUGCACGCAUAUUCAAAACUCUUCUAGUUCUUCCAAACGGGAGACUGCUCAAAGUGAACUUUAUUUUCUGAAGUACUUUCAACAACAUGCUGAUAAAAAA